rnacentral:rRNA from 1 species
GGUAAUGCCGGAUGCUCCAUCACACCGCAUGGUGUGUUGGGAAAGCCUUUGCGGCAUGGGAUGGGGUCGCGUCCUAUCAGCUUGAUGGCGGGGUAACGGCCCACCAUGGCUUCGACGGGUAGCCGGCCUGAGAGGGCGACCGGCCACAUUGGGACUGAGAUACGGCCCAGACUCCUACGGGAGGCAGCAGUGGGGAAUAUUGCACAAUGGGCGCAAGCCUGAUGCAGCGACGCCGCGUGAGGGAUGGAGGCCUUCGGGUUGUAAACCUCUUUUGUUAGGGAGCAAGGCAUUUUGUGUUGAGUGUACCUUUCGAAUAAGCACCGGCUAACUACGUGCCAGCAGCCGCGGUAAUACGUAGGGUGCAAGCGUUAUCCGGAAUUAUUGGGCGUAAAGGGCUCGUAGGCGGUUCGUCGCGUCCGGUGUGAAAGUCCAUCGCUUAACGGUGGAUCCGCGCCGGGUACGGGCGGGCUUGAGUGCGGUAGGGGAGACUGGAAUUCCCGGUGUAACGGUGGAAUGUGUAGAUAUCGGAAAAAAAACA